UACUGGCUUCGGCGGUACAUCCAUUAAAAUUGGAACGACGCAGGAAAGAUUAGCAUGGCCGCUUGACAAGUAUGACACGCAAAAUCGGGAAGCGUUCCACAUCUUG
rnacentral:snRNA from 1 species